rnacentral:lncRNA from 1 species
CCAGGAAGUAGGCUCUUACGCUCUGGAAAUUAAUUUAAUAUAAUAGCACAGCAAAGUCCCAUUCAUUACCCAAUUACAAGAACAUCUCUCCUUGAUUACACUUUGUUGACAUUAUUACCUUAGACCAGAAGCCAGGGGAAUGCAGGAGUCCCUGGAAUACACACUCCUGAGCAAAUGGAAUAAAACCAGAUUCACCCUGUGCAGCUGAAGUGCCCGGCCCUUAUUUUUAUUUCUGAUCUUAGUCUUUCAACCACUCAUUGCCUGACAAGACACUGGAAUCUUGGAGUUUUUUCUCUAUUCUUUCUGUCAACUCCAUUAUGCAGAGGGGUUCUAGCCAUAGAAUGAAGGUGAUUUCCACUGGAGGGGGUUUUGAGACAUGGUUCUCUCAUAAGGAAAAGAAGACACCAUGAGUUCUAAAGGCACUGUAUUUACCACCAAAAGUCUAAGGUGAAGAAAAGAACAGGAGGCAGUCUUCUUUUGAGGCCUUCUACGCUACCAUCUUGACACUCAGAAAUAUGACGAAGGCAGAGUUCAGUUAAUCAUGGGGUUUUGUUGGCCAAAUUGGGUUUGAUUAUCUUACUAGUUAAUUAGUCCAACCCAUACUUAUUGAAUUCCUGCUAUAUAGGAGACUUCUAGAAGAUAUUGAUAUGAGUAGGAGGGCGGAGGUCACUGGCAUAGGUAGGUGUUCACUGAGCACUAACAUAUAUUUAUCCAAUUAGCUACUUAAAUAGAACUGAGAAAAGGGCUCAAAGGGGGAAGGAUCCAGGGUCGUGAGAGCACGAGGGAAACACAGAGGGACAGAGAAGUGCCCCACCCCCAGGGAGCAGCAUGGGACCAGGUUCCGAAGCAGAGCAGGAGGUGACCGGAGAAGAGCAGAGGGCAGGGGACAGAGUCCCUGAGAGAAGGUCGUCUUGGUGGGUCACUGUGUGUUCUGGGAUAUCUGAGCUGAGCAGAGAUGAAAAAGCCUUGCUGUUCUAUGAAGUGGAGCUGGCCCAACAUGUCUUUCUCAUCAGAUGUCACCCCUUUAAAUGUUGACGGCAGUCGGUGUAUUUCUCUAAUUCGCUGAGACAACAUUUCAGUUCCUCCGCCUGCUCAUUCGCUGUGAUUUCUAACCUCGGGACUCGGCCAUCCUCAUCUAGGCAUCGCCAAGUUUAAUGUUCCUAAUGAAGUGUCUGCCUGGUUCCUUACUUCUCCACCUCCAGAAUGACUUGCAAUACAAAAGGAAUCAUAGUUCUUCCCUACUGCUCUACAAAACAUAUAAUUUAGCAUUUUUAAAGAAUGUCUAAUCUGUAAGUAUAGUCUGUAAGUAUAUACUCAGCUUUUAAC